CACAUGUAUUCAAAGAAUGAAACCCAAUUUAGGAGAGGUCACUGGAGAAACUCUGGCCUCCAUGCAGCCACGUCCACUCCCUCAACAUCUAGGACAAAAACCAAGGAUAUGUUAUUUGUGCCUUCCCAAAGGUUCCAGCGAUGAUGUCUGUUUUUAAACGAACAUGGGCAGUGCCCGAGUGUGUGAAAGCAGAAUUAAAGUGUGCACUCACAGCUGCUGUAAACUUUGUCUGGGGGUAAGAAGAGGCGGCACUGACGAGGGGGUUCGUAAUCCAUCGGGACUACCACUUACUGGGCUGCGAACUUUACUCUACACAAGAAAAGACGAUGCACUUUAUUCUGUACUCAUCAGGACUUGUUCGCUCUCUGCCAUCUUCUGGACCACGCCCUCCACCUUCGGCAGCAGCUCCAUCACACGCUGACGGCAAACUGCUGUCUUACUGUACAGCACACACAA